rnacentral:rRNA from 1 species
AGUGAACGCUGGCGGUAGGCCUAACACAUGCAAGUCGAACGGCAGCACAGUAAGAGCUUGCUCUUACGGGUGGCGAGUGGCGGACGGGUGAGGAAUACAUCGGAAUCUACUUUUUCGUGGGGGAUAACGUAGGGAAACUUACGCUAAUACCGCAUACGACCUACGGGUGAAAGCAGGGGAUCUUCGGACCUUGCGCGACUGAAUGAGCCGAUGUCGGAUUAGGUAGUUGGCGGGGUAAAGGCCCACCAAGGCGACGAUCCGUAGCUGGUCUGAGAGGAUGAUCAGCCACACUGGAACUGAGACACGGUCCAGACUCCUACGGGAGGCAGCAGUGGGGAAUAUUGGACAAUGGGCGCAAGCCUGAUCCAGCCAUACCGCGUGGGUGAAGAAGGCCUUCGGGUUGUAAAGCCCUUUUGUUGGGAAAGAAAAGCAGCAGGUUAAUACCCCGCUGUUCUGACGGUACCCAAAGAAUAAGCACCGGCUAACUUCGUG